rnacentral:rRNA from 1 species
UACGGAGGGUGCAAACGUUGCUCGGAAUCAUUGGGCGUAAAGCGCACGUAGGUGGCUUGUUAAGUCGGGUGUGAAAUCCCUGGGCUCAACCCAGGAAGUGCACUCGAAACUGGCGAGCUUGAGUACUGAAGAGGGUCGCGGAAUUCCCGGUGUAGAGGUGAAAUUCGUAGAUAUCGGGAGGAACACCAGUGGCGAAGGCGACUCACUGGACACGUAUUGACGCUGAGGUGCGAAAGCGUGGGGAGCAAACAGG